AUUUGUUUCUAAUAUUUUUUUGUUGCAUAAUAUACAUAAUAGUGAAUUUUUGAGCCCUCUUAGUAAUAUUAUAUUAUAACACGAAUACCUUAAUUUAGAGUUUUUAUUUAAAUUUUAUUUUUAUUUUUUUUAUAUUAAAAGAAGUAUACAUUGAUGUGAAAUAUGAGAGGAUACUGAAUCUGCAAAAAAUUGGAUUAUAGUGGGGUAAUAAUACUCACUUUAUGUAUGAUUUGAUUGAACACAAAAUAAUACAGUAAACACAUAAAAU
rnacentral:lncRNA from 1 species